UGUUUUGCGCAGUGGCAGUAUUGUAGCCAAUGAGGUUAAUCCGAGGCGCAAUUAUUGCUAAUUGAUUUGUUAUAAUGUUCCUACUUCUUCUGAACUGGAAUUACAGUACAGAAAGAAG
rnacentral:snRNA from 1 species